AUUGAACGCUGGCGGCAGGCCUAACACAUGCAAGUCGAGCGAGCGGCGGACGGGUGAGUAAUGUCUGGGAAACUGCCUGAUGGAGGGGGAUAACUACUGGAAACGGUAGCUAAUACCGCAUACCCUCGGAUGUGCCCAGAGGGGAUUAGCUAGUUGGUGGGGUAACGGUUCACCUAGGCGACGAUCCCUAGCUGGUCUGAGAGGAUGACCAGCCACACUGGAACUGAGAAACGGUCCAGACUCCUACGGGAGGCAGCAGUGGGGAAUAUUGCACAAUGGGCGCAAGCCGGAUGCAGCCAUGCCGCGUGUAUGAAGAAGGCCGUCGGGUUGUAAAGUACUUUCAGCGGGGAGGCGUUACCCGCAGAAGAAGCACCGGCUAACUCCGUGCCAGCAGCCGCGGUAAUAC
rnacentral:rRNA from 1 species